rnacentral:lncRNA from 1 species
GGGCACCACUGGACUUAAUGGGGCUAUUAAAGAGAAGAGGAGUUUGCAUUUCUUUUUUGCAUGCAAAAAGGGUCACUGAAAACCAAUAAGGCCUUCUUAUGUCAGCCUGAACCUAAAUCAACCAUUUAGAGUACUUGUGACCCUCUCAAAAAUGCAGCUUGCCACCUGGGCCAUUUCCACGAGCAUCCAGGACUCACAGAGAUCUUCAUUUCCAGUGAAAAGCACUUGGCUCCUGAAACACAGAUGCAGAGCUGUUUGGAGAUCUACCUUGGAGCAAAAUGCAAGAAGCCCAGGAAAAAGGUACUCACUCCUCUGCAGAAGUGCUUCCAAGCUUACAGGCAUUUCCAAGGGACACUGGCCCACAUCAUGCAUCACAACACAUCCCAGCUUUGGUAUGCUGCUGCCAUUCCCUGCUUUCCCACUGCAGAUUCCUGGCUGGGGAAGAACAGACUCACAUACAGGCCUUUUCUCAUAGGCUGUUAUAGGGGACACAUCAAGUUGUACCAUCAUCUAGAUCACUCCAAGCCAGAGGACGGUGUAGCUGUGAUGCACUACAGCUCAGCACGGGUGCUGGGUAAAGGGCUGAUCUUUGGUUACUCAGAACCACUGUGGGAAGGCCAGGAAAACACUGACAACAUCUGCCAAUAAAGCCUCAAAACGGUCUCGUACUCAUAUCCUUCUGCAGGAAUGUACCUCAUGGCAGGUAAUCUGUGGGUACGCAUAGUCUCCAAGGGGACAGACACCUGCUUAUAUUAAAGGUGGAUGACACACCCGACAUACGCUUCCUUACUCACUAUGAGGCUGGAGAAGAGUUUUCCAGCUCCAGAGCAGCAUCUUUUUAGAAACUUCCUCUUUAGCUUGCCACAUGGAUACCAUAAUCAGUCAGUGUAACUCUAGAAGAGAAAACAACGCUGGAGGCUUGGAGUCAUCAAACUUUGAGCUGAUGAAUCAUCAGGCUGCAGGCUUCUGAUAAAAAAAAUAAAAAUAAAUAAAUUAAAGAAGACCUACA